rnacentral:tRNA from 1 species
AAGAUAUUAGUAAAGUAAUUACGCUGCCUUGUCGAGGCAAAAUCGUGGGUUAAAACCCCACCUGUCUUU